rnacentral:rRNA from 1 species
UGAGUGAUGAAGGCCUUAGGGUCGUAAAGCUCUUUCGCCUGUGAAGAUAAUGACUGUAGCAGGUAAAGAAACCCCGGCUAACUCCGUGCCAGCAGCCGCGGUAUUACGAAGGGGGUUAGCGUUGUUCGAAAUUACUGGGCGUAAAGCGCGCGUAGGCGGACAUUUAAGUCAGAGGUGAAUUCCCAGGGCUCACCCCUGGAACUGCCUUUGAUACUGGGUGUCUGGAGUUCGAGAGAGGUGAGUGGAAUUCCGAGUGUAGAGGUGAAAUUCGUAGAUAUUCGGAGGAACACCAGUGGCGAAGGCGGCUCACUGGCUCGAUACUGACGCUGAGGUGCGAAAGUGUGGGGAGCAAACAGGAUU